rfam:Rattus norvegicus chromosome 10, whole genome shotgun sequence.
GGGGAUUUGGCUCAGUGGUAGAGCGCUUGCCUAGCAAGCGCAAGGCCCUGGGUUCGGUCCCCAGCUCUA